rnacentral:rRNA from 1 species
GAACCGUACAAACGUUAUUCGGAAUCACUGGGCUUAAAGGGUGCGUAGGCGGUCCGGCAAGUUGGGUGUGAAAUCCCUCGGGCUCAACCGAGGGAACUGCGCUCAAAACUGCCGGACUUGAGGGAGACAGAGGUGAGCGGAACUUAGGGUGGAGCGGUGAAAUGCGUUGAUAUCCUAAGGAACACCAGUUGCGAAAGCGGCUCACUGGGUCUCUUCUGACGCUCAGGCACGAAAGCUAGGGGAGCGAACGGGAUUAGAUACCCCGGUAGUCCUAGCUGUAAACGAUGAGCACUGGGCUGGAGGCUCCUCCAUAGGCUUCCAGCCGAAGCGAAAGUGUUAAGUGCUCCGCCUGGGGAGUAUGGUCGCAAAGGCUG